rnacentral:rRNA from 1 species
CACGCAUGACACACUGCAUAUCAAUAAGCGGAGGAAAAGAAACUAACUAAGGAUUCCCUUAGUAACGGCGAGUGAAGCGGGAAGAGCUCAAAUUUGAAAUCUUCAAGGUUCUACCUUGACGAAUUGUAGUUUAAAGAAGUGUUUUCUGUUGAAGUUUUGGUAAAAGUUCUUUGGAAUAGGACAUCAUAGAGGGUGAGAAUCCCGUAUUUGACCAUUUCUUUCUAGCUGUGUGAUACACUUUCAAAGAGUCGGAUUGUUUGGGAAUGCAGUCCAAAAUGGGUGGUAAAUUUCAUCUAAAGCUAAAUAUUGGCGAGAGACCGAUAGCGAACAAGUACCGUGAGGGAAAGAUGAAAAGAACUUUGAAAAGAGAGUUAAACAGUACGUGAAAUUGUCAAAAGGGAAGCGUUUGACACCAGUGUUGUUUUUCCGAAAAUCAAUUACGAAUGUUUUAUUUUUGAGAAGUUAUGACUUCAUCGGCUUGCUUCUCUCUUUAUGAAACUUUCUUAAUGCACUUUUCGGUUAACAAGUCAACAUCAAUUUCUUUUUGUUGUAAAAGGGUAUGAGGAAGGUGGCUUUCUUUUCGGAGAAAGUGUUUAUAGCCUUGUACCUCUGCAAUCGGAGAGACUGAGGUCUGCAGCGUAGAUCCUUCGGGGUUAGAUACAUUUGUGCUAAGUUAUAGCUUUUCAUAGACAACUUGUUGACUAUGUUUAGUCUUGUAGCUUACUCGCUUAUGCUAUUUUACCUACGCUUAGGAUGUUGAAGACUCUACAGAGAUA